rnacentral:rRNA from 1 species
UACGAGGGGGGCGCGCGUUGUUCGGAAUUAUUGGGCGUAAAGAGCUCGUAGGCGGUUUGUUGCGUCGGCUGUGAAAUCCCGAGGCUCAACCUCGGGUCUGCAGUCGAUACGAGCAAACUAGAGUGUUGCAGGGGAGACUGGAAUUCCUGGUGUAGCGGUGAAAUGCGCAGAUAUCAGGAGGAACACCGGUGGCGAAGGCGGGUCUCUGGGCAACAACUGACGCUGAGGAGCGAAAGCGUGGGGAGCGAACAGG